UCGAUUACCUCAUGUGAAAACAAAAAGCACAAGGCAGGGGGUCCUUGGCAGCAGGAGGACCCGCUGUUGGUGGUUCGCAGUGAGGGGACCUCAACCAGAAUCCACAAUCUGUGUCAAUUUGUAGGCGGAGCGGGAGUGAGUGAGUGUGAGGCGGCGUCGCACCAGGCCACGUUUACACAUCCGCUGGGCUCCGCUCUCUCUCUUGCGUUGGCACGGCGACGUGCGAGCAGCUGGUGUCGAACAAACCGCUCAUCCGUCGCGGGACAGACUGGAAUCGGUGCUGUCUUCCAGUGAGACGCAUCUGUUCGUAGAGAGGAGGAACAACUCUGUCUCCGAUGUCUUCAUGUCUUCCUGACAGGACGGAACAUCAAUACGACGCUGAUGGAGACGGGCACAGAGGACAUAACCAGGUGAGCGUCUUCUGUGGUGUACAACAACAACAUGCUGAACGCCAGUAUGGAUCCACGCACGCCUGAGACAUUAAACGACAGCAG